ensembl:lncRNA SLC26A4-AS1 SLC26A4 antisense RNA 1
GGGCUCCUAGAACCCACUCUCCCCAAAGGCGAGUUUCCCAGGCGCCGCUCGUGCUGUUGCUGGAAAGCGAGCUCGCUGUAGACCGGCCGCGACACCAUGUAGCUGCAGCUGUACUCGGGGAGCUGCGGCGGCUCCGACCUGCCGCCUGGCGCUGCCAUGACCUGCGAGCCAGAGGACAGCGAGGAGGGAGGACACGCGACAAAGUUGCACAGGCUGGAGUACAGUGGUGCAAUCUCGGCUCACUGCAAUGUCCGCCUCCUGGGUUCAAGUGAUUCUCCUGCCUCAGUGGUACAAUCUUGGCUCACUGCAACGUCCGCCUCCAGGUUCAAGUGAUUCUUCUGCCUCAGCCUCCCGAGUAGCUGGGAUUACAGGCAUGAGCCACUUUGUUCCAAGAUCUCAUCCAGACAUGAUCUCAUUCUGUUGCCCAGGGUGAGUGCAGUGGCACCUUCAUGGCUCAUUGCAGUCUCGAUCUCCCAGGCUCAAGCGAUCCUCCCACCUCAGCCUCCCAAAGUGCUGGGAUUGCAGGCGUGAGCCACCUUGCCCAGCCCAUUCUGCAAUCUUCGGAAGGAAGUCACUAUAUGCAGCCUAUGCUUGAGGAGUGGGGAGUUGAAUUCCACAUCCUUGAGGGCAGAAUACCUAAAUAAAUUAUUUGGAAUUCUUCUGCAA